UACAGAGGUCCCAAGCGUUGUUCGGAUUUACUGGGCGUAAAGGGUGCGUAGGUGGCGAGGUAAGUUUGAUGUGAAAUCUCCGAGCUCAACUCGGAAAUGGCAUUGAAUACUAUCCCGCUUGAGGGUCGGAGGGGAGACUGGAAUUCUCGGUGUAGCAGUGAAAUGCGUAGAUAUCUGGAGGAAUACCGGUGGCGAAGGCGGCAUCCUGGACCAUAACUGACGCUGAGGCGCGAAAGCUAGGGGAGCAAACGGG
rnacentral:rRNA from 1 species